rnacentral:rRNA from 1 species
GUGAGGAAUAUUGGACAAUGGAUGGAAAUCUGAUCCAGCCAUGUCGCGUGCAGGAAGACGGCCCUAUGGGUUGUAAACUGCUUUUAUACGGGAGCAAUAAGGUCUAUGCAUAGAUUGAUGAGAGUACCGUAUGAAUAAGCAUCGGCUAACUCCGUGCCAGCAGCCGCGGUAAUACGGAGGAUGCGAGCGUUAUCCGGAUUUAUUGGGUUUAAAGGGUGCGUAGGCGGCUUUGUAAGUCAGCGGUGAAAUUUUGCAGCUUAACUGUAAAAGCGCCGUUGAUACUGUGAAGCUAGGAUUUGGUUGCGGUGGGCGGAAUGUGUGGUGUAGCGGUGAAAUGCAUAGAGAUCACACAGAAUAUCGAUUGCGAAGGCAGCUCACAAAGCCAAUAUUGACGCUGAGGCACGAAAGUGUGGGGAUCAAACAGGAUUAGAAACCCGGGUAGUCC